rnacentral:sRNA from 1 species
CACAGGUCUGAGGGCCUGAUGUGUGUGAAACCAUUCUGCAGAGCUGGGAACGGGUCAGGAGGUGGUUGUGUGUGUGUGUGCGCGCGUGUGUGCAUUGCUGGAGGGCACUCCUUGUGUGCUCUGAGUGUGACAGAGGAAGUCACCCUGGACUUAGGUUGGAUGGGAGAGCAUGUCUGUGUGUCUCAGAGCCACCAAGGAGGAGCAGGGGAGCGACGGCCGGGGCAGAAGUUGAGACCACCCAGCAGAGGAGCUAGGCCAGUCCAUCUGCAUUUGUCACCCAAGAACUCUUACCAUGAAGACCCUCCUACUGUUGGCAGUGAUCAUGAUCUUUGAAUGAUCAAGUUGACGACAGGAAAGGAAGCUGCACUCAGUUAUGGCUUCUACGGCUGCCACUGUGGCGUGGGUGGCAAAGGAUCCCCCAAGGAUGCAACAGAUCGGUGAGGCCACCUAUCCCUCCCUACCCUCCUAGACUCUGGCCCAGGCAGGGCUGGGAGCUGCAAAGACAGUGCCGGUUCCUGAUGGGCACAGAGGUGUCAGGAUGGCCUGGCAGGAAAAGCAGCCGGCAUGUUGG